GGGAACAGCAAAUAACAAGAUGGAUGGUUGCACACAUGCAAGAUAGAUGAUCUAAAAAUUUUCAUGAUUGUGAAGUGAAGGAAUGGGAGUGUUAGGAUGCUAGCGUAUAAGUUGAUGAAGCAAACUACCAAGGUGUCAAGCAGAGAGAUACUGUGAUGUGGUGACAGGCUGUGAGAAAGCAGAGGGAAAGAGAAGCCAUAUUUCUUCAUGAAUAAGAGCAGGCACGAGAAACCGAAAAGGGCAGGAGAUUUGCUACAUGUGAAACUUCUUGUUAUUCCGCAUCCUCACCAGCAUCUGAUAUCAGUGCUCUGAAUUUUGGCCAUUCUAAUGGGUUUUAAGUACUCUCUGCACACAAGUGGGACUCGAACUCACCACCCCAAAGUCAAGAGUCACAUGUUCUACUAAGUGAG
rnacentral:lncRNA from 1 species